AUUCUGAGCCCCUCCCUGAAGAUCUGAUUCACUAGGCUUGGUGUAAAGUCCUGGAACCCAUAGAUUUAACAGGAGCCCUCCACUGGCAUAUAUUAUGGGAAAUAGUUUGGGAAGUAGUGCUUUACAUGAUUUAUGUCAAGUAAUUAUUACAAUUGCUCUCUGAAGCCGCUACCAUGAUUAUCUCAAUUUUACAGAUGAAGAAACCAGCUCAGAGUAUAAGAUAUGGUAUACCUAAGUCAAAUAGUUAAUAAACAGGAGCGCUGCUGACUCUGGCACCCAGGACUGCUUGUCUUCAAAGCCAGGACUCCGACUACUGAAGGCCCAAGACUCUUGGCGGUCUGAAUCUGGGGUCCCAGCUGCCUUGCCAGGAUGGCAGAUAUCUCUCCACUAAUGCAGGUGUCUUAGAAGUUCCAGUGGCUAGAAUUCCAAGAUCAAGGUGUCAGCAGCAUGGUUCUUUCUGAGAGCUGUGAAGAAGAAUCCGUUCCAUGCCUCUCCCCCAGUUUCUGGUGGUGUGCUGGCAGUCUUUGGCAUUCUUUGGCCUGCAGACGCAUCACCCUAAUCUCAGCCCAGCUCCGGAACGCCUUUCCCAUGUUUGGUGUGUUUUCUACCUAAUGAGUUUUGAUGGAAGUGAAGGCUGUUAUUUACCUCUGGAAGCUAAAAAUACCAGCUCCCUGGUCAUCUCAGAGUUGGUUUCCGAUGCAACUAAAAACAUCAACUGAUAUGAGGUCCAAAAGAUGGAAUUUUAAGCACCAAAGACGCUCCCUUAU
rnacentral:lncRNA from 1 species